UGAGGAAUAUUGGUCAAUGGGCGAGAGCCUGAACCAGCCAAGUAGCGUGCAGGAUGACGGCCCUCUGGGUUGUAAACUGCUUUUAUGCGGGGAUAAAGUGCGCGACGUGUCGUGCAUUGCAGGUACCGCAUGAAUAAGGACCGGCUAAUUCCGUGCCAGCAGCCGCGGUAAUACGGAAGGUCCGGGCGUUAUCCGGAUUUAUUGGGUUUAAAGGGAGCGUAGGCCGCCAGAUAAGCGUGUUGUGAAAUGUACCGGCUCAACCGGUGAAUUGCAGCGCGAACUGUUUGGCUUGAGUGCACGGUAAGCAGGCGGAAUUCAUGGUGUAGCGGUGAAAUGCGUAGAUAUAUGGAGGAACACCGGUGGCGAAAGCGGCUCUCUGGUCUGUAACUGACGCUGAGGCUCGAAAGCGUGGGGAGCGAACAGG
rnacentral:rRNA from 1 species